rfam:Schistosoma rodhaini strain Burundi genome assembly, scaffold: SROB_scaffold0005252
AUUCAACUGACGAGUCCCAAAUGGGAUGAAACUCGGGUCCUGGGU